rnacentral:pre_miRNA from 1 species
CACAGAAGUCUGUGUGCAGCCACUCACCUUGUGCUCUAGCAGAGGGAGGGCAGAGUAGACUAAAGAUGUGUGUGCA